rnacentral:rRNA from 1 species
GUCUCAGUUCGGAUUGUAGGCUGAAACUCGCCUACAUGAAGCUGGAGUUGCUAGUAAUCGCGAAUCAGCAUGUCGCGGUGAAUACGUUCCCGGGCCUUGUACACACCGCCCGUCACACCAUGAGAGUUGGCAAUACCCAACGUACGUGAUCUAACCCGCAAGGGAGGAAGCGUCCUAAGGUAGGGUCAGCGAUUGGGGUGAAGUCGUAACAAGGUACC